UGGGAUAUCAUUCAAACAAACAUCCACUAAAUGAACAGCUAUAGUUUCCUGAAAUAUAUCCAACAGGCCAUAACAGUGGAGAGUUCAGAACAAAAAUUUAGCUUUUAGAACUUACAGACUGAGUAUGUGACUAAUCUAAACAAAUCAGUUCAUUGACUGGCAGCACAUACAUCACAAGAUAAGUGCUGACAAAAUCAGACUCCUCUAAUG
rnacentral:lncRNA from 1 species